AUCAUUGUUAGGCACUCGUGGCACUAUGCCGGGACAAGAUAUCUGAAACGAGGAGUGAAUGAAAAGGGAAGAGUAGCUAAUGAUGUUGAGACAGAGCAGAUAGUCUUUGCAGAUGCUCGUGAUGGAAGCCCGAUGAAAAUAAGUUCCGUGGUGCAGAUCCGAGAUUCAAUCCCUCUAUUCUGGUCUCAAGAAGCCUUUCCAUUGAACAAAAAACCUGACAUUAUAUUAUCAAAGAAGGACAACACCUUUGAAGCCACAAGGCUUCAUUUUGAAAAUCUUGUUAAGAGAUAUGGAAAUCCAAUUAUCAUAUUGAACUUGAUUAAGACACAUGAGAAGAAACCACGAGAAACUAUUCUUUG